UACGUAGGGUGCAAGCGUUAAUCGGAAUUACUGGGCGUAAAGCGUGCGCAGGCGGUUUUGUAAGCCAGAUGUGAAAUCCCCGGGCUUAACCUGGGAAUGGCAUUUGGGACUGCAAGGCUUGAGUGCGGCAGAGGAGACUGGAAUUCCUGGUGUAGCAGUGAAAUGCGUAGAUAUCAGGAGGAACACCGAUGGCGAAGGCAGGUCUCUGGGCUGACACUGACGCUCAUGCACGAAGACGUGGGGAGCAAACAAGG
rnacentral:rRNA from 1 species